rnacentral:lncRNA from 1 species
UUGCCUUUCCUUAGCUGAUCCUCCCUUUUCCUUGCAAGAUGACACUUCCAAGAUCAAUAAUGGCCUCCUUCUAUGCUCAAAACGCUCACACUCGAUUAGGGUUUCGCUCAAGGGACUGGUGAGCACAAAUGACGGCCAUAAGGCCCUUUAAAUAGGUCCCAAACCCGAGAAAUUAGGGUUUCAUUAAACAGCGCAGACUCGCCGAGUCCAUACCUUGGACUCGCCGAGUCCAGGCGCGAACCCGCGUCCAGAACCGCGAUCCUACUCGGCGAGUCUGAGCUCCAACUCGCCGAGUCCCCUCUCAAAACACCAAAAACAUAAACAUAAAAGAUACCUGGAAAUCCGGGCUGUUACAACUCUCCCCCACUAGAACUAGACUUCGCCCUCGAAGUCUCGCUCUGAAAAUAGCUCCGGAUGCUGCUCACGCAUCUCACGCUCCGGCUCCCAGGUCAUCUCUGAUCCCUUCCGAUGUUGCCACUGAACCAACACCAAGGGUACCUCCUUGUUCCUCAGAACCUUGAUCUUCCUAUAUCUGAUGGCCACCGGCCUCUCGGCAUAAUUCAGGCUUACAACCACCUGAAUAUCCUCUAAUGGAACCACUGCCGACUCAUCGGCUAUACACUUUCUCAGCUGCGACACAUGAAAAGUGUCGUGAAUCUGCCCCAACUCUGCUGGCAAAUCCAAACGAUAGGCUACCCGGCCUACCCUCGCGAUCACACGGAAUGGACCAAUAUAUCGGGGCCCCAACUUGCCCCUCUUCCUGAAUCGAAUCACUCCUUUCCAAGGAGAGACCUUCAGGAGAACAAAGUCGCCGACCUGAAACUCAAGCUCGGACCGGCGUCUGUCUGCAUAACUCUUCUGUCGGCUCUGAGCGGUCAACAACCUCUGUCUGACCUGCUGAAUCUGCUCUGUCGUCUGAAGCACGAUCUCUGUACUGCCCAUCACUCUCUGCCCAACCUCUCCCCAGCAAAUGGGGGUCCGACACCUCCUACCAUACAACAGCUCAAAGGGUGGCAUACCAAUGCUCGAAUGAUGGCUGUUGUUGUAGGAAAACUCUGCCAAGGGUAAAUACGCAUCCCAGCUACCCCCGAAAUCCAACACACAUGCUCGGAGCAUGUCCUCAAGCGUCUGAAUCGUCCGCUCACUCUGACCGUCUGUCUGGGGAUGAUAUGCGGUACUAAAAUGCAGUCUAGUACCCAACUCCUCAUGAAAUUUCUUCCAGAAUCUGGAAGUGAAACGCACAUCACGGUCUGAAACAAUCGAGAUCGGCACCCCAUGCCGAGAUACCACUUCCCUCACAUAUACCUCUGCCAAUUUCUCUGCUGAAGAACUCUCACUGAUGGCAAGGAAGUGAGCGCUCUUCGUCAACCUGUCCACAAUCACCCAAAUUGCAUCAACUCCUCUGGCAGUCCUCGGCAAUUUGGUGAUGAAAUCCAUAGUGAUCUGUUCCCACUUCCACUCGGGAACCUCCAAUGGCUGCAACUUGCCAUGCGGUCUCUGGUGCUCGGCCUUAACCCUACGGCAGGUCAAGCACCUCUCAACGAACCAUGCGACGUCCCUCUUCAUACAGGGCCACCAAUACUCUCUCCUCAAAUCCAAAUACAUCUUCGUAGCCCCCGGAUGGAUCGAAAAUUUCGACCGAUGAGCCUCCUCCAUCAAGGAAGUGCGCGUACCACCCACGAACGGUACCCAAAUCCGACCCUGAAAAGUCAUAAGCCCUCGCCCAUCCGUAACGAAUUCUGAAACCAAACCAACGACCCGUUCCCUCUUCUGCAUCUCCGGCUGCACAGCCUCGGCCUGUGCCCCACGAAUGGCAUCCAAUACCGGAGCUAUCAUGGUCAAUCUCAAACAUACAUCUCGCAAUGGAGUGCUCUCCGCCCUGCGGCUCAACGCAUCGGCCACCACGUUGGCCUUGCCCGGGUGGUACAGGAUCUCACAAUCAUAAUCCUUGACCACAUCUAACCACCUCCUCUGACGCAUGUUUAGAUUGGGCUGAUCCAUCAAGUACUUCAAGCUCUUAUGGUCCGUGUAUAUCGUACAUCGAACCCCAUAUAAGUAGUGGCGCCAAAUCUUGAGGGCGAACACUACUGCCCCCAACUCUAGAUCAUGCGUGGGAUAUCUUGUCUCAUGAGGCUUCAGCUGCCUCGAUGCAUAUGCUAUCACAUGACCCCUCUGCAUCAACACCGCACCCAACCCCAAAAUCGAUGCAUCACAAUAUACUACAAAAUCCUCCAUCCCUUCCGGGAGAGCUAAUACCGGGGCUUCGCACAACCUCUGGCGAAGUGUCUCAAAGGAGGUCUGCUGCUCGGGACCCCAUGAGAAUGCAACACCCUUCCGGGUCAACCUGGUGAGCGGCACUGCGAUCUUGGAGAAAUCCUUGAUAAAUCUCCGAUAAUACCCUGCUAAUCCAAGGAAGCUCCUGAUCUCAGAGGGUGACUUUGGCACCUCCCAACCCAUCACCGCCUCAACCUUGGCCGGAUCGACCAGAAUCCCUUCCUGGUUAACGAGAUGUCCUAGGAACUGGACCUCCCGUAACCAGAAAUCACACUUGGAGAACUUUGCAUAAAGCUUCUCCGAUCUCAGUACCCCAAGGACCUCCCUCAAAUGUUCCUCAUGCUGCUCCCUAGAUCUCGAAUACACCAGAAUAUCAUCGAUAAAUACAAUCACCGACCGAUCCAACAUCGGCCUACAUACCCUGUUCAUGAGAUCCAUGAACACCGCCGGGGCAUUGGUGAGCCCAAAAGGCAUCACCACAAACUCAUAAUGCCCAUAACGCGUCCUGAAAGCUGUCUUCUGGACGUCCUCAUCUCGCACCCUCACCUGAUGAUAUCCCGACCUCAAAUCGAUCUUGGAAAACCAAGAUGCUCCCUGCAACUGAUCAAAUAAAUCGUCGAUCCUCGGCAACGGGUAACGGUUCUUGACCGUCAGCUUGUUCAACUCCCGGUAAUCAAUACACAUCCGGUGUGAACCAUCCUUCUUCUUGACAAACAGAAUAGGUGCUCCCCACGGCGAGCUGCUCGGCCGAAUAAAUCCCUUCCCCAGCAACUCCUGAAGCUGCGAGGAUAACUCUUGCAUCUCUGGAGGUGCAAGACGAUAAGGCACCUUAGCUAUAGGCGCAGCCCCCGGAACCAAAUCAAUACCAAACUCUACUUGCCUCACAGGAGGUACUCCCGGCAGCUCCUCGGGAAAGACAUCUGGAAACUCACAUACCACCGGUACCUCCCCAACUGAACUCGGUCUCUCGGAAGUCGCUCGCGUAUCCAUCACAUACGCCACAAAACCCUUACAGCCCUGCUGUAGACACUGCCUCGCCCUGGCGGCCGAACAAAAGGCUGAUCCCGAACGUGUACCCUCACCGUACACCGAAAGAACUCCCCCACUAGGGUCUCGUAUAGUCACCAGCUGACGCUCACAGUCGAUAAUCGCGCCGAAUCGGCUCAACCAGUCCAUGCCCACAAUGACACAAACAUCACCCAUCGCAAUAGGAAUCAGAUCAAUCGGAAACUCAAUCCCGAAGAUCUCUAACACACAUCCCCGGAAAACCUCUGCGGCACAAAUCACUCUAUCAUCAGCUAUGGAGACUCUCAGAGGCCGACUCAGUGCCUCACGACUAGCACUGAUAUGCUGGCUAAAGGCCAAAGAUACAAAAGACCGACUCGCACCCGAGUCAAAUAACACUAAAGCAGGUACGGAAUUCACAAGAAAAGUACCUACACAUAACAUAAUAUAAGCAUAACAUCAUAUAUCAAAAUAAAUACACGAAAGGAAACAUACCAGCCACCACAUCGGGCGCGGCGCGGACCUCCUCCGCAGUCAACUGGAAAGCUCUCCCUCGAGCUCUCGGCGUCUCGGCCUUCACAGGCCGACUCUCUGUAACUCUGGUGGCGGCAGGAGCAGACCCCUGAGAUGCUCCGCGCAACUGCGGACACUCGGCCUUCCGGUGUCCAGUCUGGUUGCAGUGAAAGCACACUGCAAACCCCUUGGGGCAGUCCUUGGCCAUGUGCCCCUCCUUACCACAUUUGUAGCAAGACCCUGCUCGGCAGACUCCGUCAUGACCCUUGCCGCACUUUCCGCAAGUGCGGCCCUUCUGGCUCCCUGGUCUGGGAUCAGCAGGCUUGGCCCGCUUGGCGGCCGGCUGCGACAACGCCGGUCGCCGAUCCCUCCCCUGAGACUCUGCCUCCUCCCUGGCCUGGGUCUCAAGCUCAAUCUCCCUCUUCCGGGCAUUUGCCUGAAGCUCGGCAAAUGUCCGGUACGAGGAGUUCGCAGCGAACUCCCGAAUAUCCCUCCUCAAGAUGCUCAAGUAGCGGCUCAUACGUGCCUGCUCAGUGGACACGUGCUCAGGGCAGAACAUCGCCCUCUCGUGGAACAUCCUCGUGAUCGCUGUAACAGACUCAGUACCCUGCUUGAGGGUCAGAAACUCCUGUGCUAAACGCUCCCUCUCCACCUGGGGAACGUACUCAUCCCGAAACAUAGUGGUGAACCUCUCCCAGGUCACCGCAGAAAGCUCAGCAGGCGAAUAAUGCGCUGUCACAAACUUCCACCAGUCCUUCGCUCCCAAGCGAAGCUGGUUCAGCGCGAACCGUACCUUCAAAUGCUCAGGAGACGAGCAAGUGAAGAAACACCCCUCAAUAUCAGAUAUCCACCUCAUAGCUGCCACCGGAUCCUGAGUACCAUCAAACUCUGGUGGUUUUGUGUUGCUGAACUCACGGAACAGCAACGCAUCCCCACCCUGCGGCCUCGCAGCAGCAAUCGCUGCGGUAGCUGCUGCAGCAGCAGCCUCAGAAAGAGCGGCAUAACGCUCAUCAAACGUCUCAAUCAAUGUGGUCUUUAUAGACCCAAACAUCUCCGGUAUCUCUGCCCUGAUGGCCGCAGCCACCUCCUCCUGAAUGAUCCGGCGGAUCUCCUCCUCACUGGUACCACUGCUCUCGGGCAUCAAACGUGUCCUCACCAUGAUCUACCUCUGAAAUACAACAUACGAUAAAUUAGAAUCCACACGAGUAUGCUCACACUCGACAACUCUUUUCUCCUUGAUUCUUGGCAUUCCAAAGAUUCUGACUUGGGCUGCACACCGCUCCGGUGCUUCCAGUAGUACGGGCCCAAUACUACUGUCCGCACCGCACCAGAAUACACUCCAAGUCCUUCUCUUUGGAUCCCAGGUCUCAAGUACUUUAUCAUGCAUAGACUACUCUCUAAUAGAUCUCUCAUAAGUCCCUUGCUGCUACCUACUCACUCUCAAGCAUCUCAUAGCAGCUCACCUCUCCCUAGGCUAAGGCAUCACACAUCAGGCCACUCUAGUCCUAAUAGCAAUACCUAGCCUACUCUAGCAUGCGGAUACAUCAUAUCAAUAUCAAUAUCACAUAAUAUAUAAAGGUAUUUUGGGAAAUCACCGUUCGGGCGCUGACUGAUCGUACACACAUCUCUUGCUCUGCGUUUUUCGAAAAUCUUUUACUCUUUUUGAAAAUACAUCUCAAAUCCUCAGUUUGAGUUCAAAUACGCCCGAAGGUGUACUCGAAUCCCUCAAACCAAGGCUCUGAUACCAACUUGUAACACCGAAAAUUUUAAAAUUUAUUUUUCACAAUUUAUAAAAACAUUUCUCUUUUAAUUUCAUAAAACAUCAAGUUUCAAAUUCCAAUAUGUAUCAUACAAAUCCCAAGAUCACAUAAUUAUAUCGAAUUCCUCUACGUGUGUACAGAUCAAGCCGGCGCCUUCCCACGGUCAUCGCUAGUACCUGAAACAACAACACUAACACUGUAAGCACAAAGCUUAGUGAGUUCCCCAAAAUACCACACAUAAAACACAUAUUAGCCACUCGAGGCCAUAACUCUAUGGGUCCGUGCACCCAACUCUGUGAACCCUCAGGUUCUAACUCUAUGAACCUUCCGGUUCCAACUCUAUAAACAUGCACAGCAUAGAUCACAUAGAAAUAAUGCAGUACAACACAUAACAUACACAUAACAUACAUACACUAACACAUAACUCUGAUUACCGACUCAAGGUAAAGUAUAGUGAGAAGACUCACCUCGCGUGUCUCGGUAUCUCACGAUCCCUGGAAAUCCCUCGUGCUCGAUCCUCCGAGCUCUAAUCCUCCUAUAACAUCACAAGACUCUAAUUAACACUUUUAUCUCUAAGGUUGACUAUCCCUAAGAAGUCAACACAGGUCAACGGUCAACGGUCAACUUUGACCGGACUCGGCGAGUGCACGCGGCAACUCGGCGAGUCUAGACGUUCUCACCAACUCUCUAGGAUUCCCUUUCUACACGUCGAGUACUCCCCCUGACUCGACGAGUUCCACCUGGAAGAAUCGCGGGACCACCCCGACUCAACUCGCCGAGUCUCAAGAACGACUCGGCGAGUCCUAGCUCGACUCAGACCACAUGACAAUCCUCUCUAACUCGCCCUGACUCACUGGGUCAACUCCUGACUCGUCUGGACCACUCACUGGCCGGUCCAAGGCAAUCUUCAAGCUACUCGCCGAGUCUGCUCAUCGGACUCGGCGAGUCCAUUCCAUGCAAUCACUCAAACUUGCUUCUAAGGUCAGAUCUACUCCAACAAUUCAUAGAUCUGGCCCUCCUAGACUGAUUCAUCACGUAAAGUCCUAGUCUUGAUGCAUUAACAACCUCUAUAUGACUAAUUAUGAAGAAUCUUCAACAAAUCUCACUACACAAGGUCAUGACCUCCAUUGUUCUCUAUAAAGCUUGAAGAAUGAGACUCUCUGGACCUCUAUGGAUCCAGAUCCGAAGUCUCAUCACUAGCAUGGGACUAUUUGGCCAUCAAAUCAACUCAACAAGGCCACAAGAAACCCUAAAAUCGGUUAUACUUCACAAAACAGGAGAUGAGUCGAAAUUAUACCUUUAGAUUGAAGGGUCAAGCUUCCAAUCCACCAAAUAGCAGUCCCCUUUGCCUCCUCUUGGCUAGAGCCUCCUUCUUCUUUGCUAAACAACACACAAAUGUCAAGAAAUGCCUCCUUUCACUCUCAAAUCGCUAAAGCACUUUUAGGGUUUCUCUCUAUGGACUGAUGGAUGCAAAUGACGGCCAUAAGGCCAUUUAAAUAGGUCCCAAACCCGAGAAAUUAGGGUUUCAUUAAACAGCGUGGACUCGCCGAGUCCAUAUCCUGGACUCGCCGAGUCCGAACGAAUCCCGCGUCCAGAAUCGCGACCCUACUCGGCGAGUCUGAGCUCCAACUCGCCGAGUCCCCUCACAAACAUCAAAAAUUGAGAACAUAAAAGAUACCUGAAAAUCCAGGCUGUUACAGUUUUUGAUUUGAUGAUUUUCUACAUGAUUUAUUGAAGAUUAUUCGUGUUUUGGCGGUAUGGAAUCAAGAAUUGUGUUCGAUCUACUGUUCAUGGAGAUGGAGAUUUAUGCUGUUCAUCUAGUGUUCAUCUGGGUAAUUUGUUCCAAUUCAUGUUCUGUUUGUAUUCUAUGAUCGGAUCUGGUCAGUUGUUUAAUUCAUAAACAAUAUAUUACAAUGACAGAUCAAGUUCCAUUUAUUUUUCCCAAUUGUUUUUGAUCUAUAUUCAUUCAGCCGAUAAACUGUUCUUGAGCAAAAAAAGUUUAUCAUUGUUCAUUCGUUCCAUUCAUUGGGCUCAUUGUGUUCGUUUAAUGUUCAUUGUUUAGCGCACAUAGUUGUUGAAAUCGUAAGUUCUGAAUCCGUAAUUCAAAGUCUUUCAUUCAAACAAAGCGUUCAAUCUCACGUCGAUUACGAACUCUUAUUGGAUUUCAUCAUUCUCGAUUCUUGUCGCUAGUCGCUUUGUUCUUGUUCAUGUGUUUUGUUCUUAACAUCGAUUUUUUUAACGAUUCAUAAUGAUUUUUUUUUUCUAAAAGUGAACCAUCCCUUUUAUCAUCGACUGAGAUUUUGGAUCCAACAUUGUUCUUUGAUAUUCUUAUUGAUAAAUCAAUAUUUUUUUGAGAACCGAUGAUGAACAGACGAUGAAUAUAGGGAGUUUAUAUUGAUUUUCGAUUAAAUGUGAUGAUUGAUCUGGAAAUCGAUCUGUUGAGUCCGGAAAUUAUGUUGAAGAAAAUUUAAUCUUGUUUGGCGUUACCUGAUGUCGUUGGUCAGCGCUAAAUGUCAAAUUUAGAAUUGUGAGCUUAUUUGUGCAAACGGACUCCCUGUGAACUUAAUUGCAAUCGUAAUCGGAAGUAUGUUGCGAACGAAUGAAAUCG